rnacentral:lncRNA from 1 species
UGAUUUGUUAUAUCCGCAGGACAGGAGAAAAAUAGAGGUAUUGAAAUUCCUCUGAUAAUAACUAGAGGAGACAUUGCGCCACAUAUCAGUAAAUUAGUGAACAGCUUGUGGUUAUGCAUAUUAUUAGAAAGUUGAAUGCACUAAACACAUGACCCAAUAGAAACCAUUGCAGCAUGUAUUCCACCAAAAUAAAAUCCUUUAUACUUGUUAACAAAUAUAAAUUCCUUUAUACUUAUUAAAAUAUUCCUUGGCAAGUGUCUAUCAAUGAGAGAUGUCUUCAGGAAUUUAGCUUGGUUGAUCGUGUUGGAGCUGUUGUUUGGUGAGGUGUUUGGCUAAUCUGAGUGGAUAGUUCUAGUUUUUGCUUGACUUUGGAGUGGUCGUUUUGGUUGUGGCUGUAGUGGGGAUUUCAGGAUUUGUUUGUAAGCUGCCCUUUGUUGCAGUGUAAGGGUUUGUUGCGUAGGUGUUUGUUUGCUUUUAAUCCAGUUGUUCCUUCCUGGUUGUAUAAAGGAACUACUUGCCUUCUUUAUAUGCUUUCUAGCUUCUCUUGUACUUCUUGUUAAAAGAUU